rnacentral:misc_RNA from 1 species
GUCUUGGAUUCGAAGCCGACAUCAGCUCGUAUCUUGAAUAGAUUUGCCGGUCUGGGAGUUUUGGGGAAGGCGGGUUUUAAAGGAAAGGAAAAUGGUUUGGAUAGUUUAGCUGAAUCGGAGAAGGAUUGGGGAGAAAAGCUUGACAUACCGUUAGCCAGCAGAGAAGCCAUGGCUGUGGUUCAGAUGGAAGAACAGGGCAAGAGACAAAAGUGAACCAGUCUCGUGUAUUCCACACGAACUAUAAAUCGGUUUUAGCUAUUAAACUAUUCAGACGCCAAAUUUGAACGGCACCGAUCCAGAUGACCAUGGAAUCGCGAAUGGCUCUCCCGA